ACAGAUUUAAGUGUUUUUCAUAACGAAGCAUAACCGCGAUAUGGCCUUUUCAAGAAUUACGUCGAUUUUUUUAGAAUCACCUUGAUGUUCAUAUGUGCUCGUGGAAAAUAGGACAAUCUGGGUGAUAAUCAAUUUAAGAAAGUUUCGUAGAUCAAGGGAUACAAGAGAAUAGACCAACUCACACUGUCGCCGAAUACAUGCCGACGCGAAUUUCGUACGCAUGAACAUUGCGUAAUUUGUAUGAGAUUUUUUAUUUACCGCAAAGAAAAACGAGCACUGUAUACAGAAUUCACCAAAGUUUGACAAACUGACGACACUGUGGAUACGGCAUAAAACCACGAGCGCCAUCUAUUCAUUUUUUCUCGGAUCAAUAAUAUUUUCCGAAUAAAAGUGUCGUCUUUAUUCAUGAAUUACA